UGCCAGCUGACUCAUCCAAUACCAGCCUUAACUGUCACAAAUGAUAUGGGAGCAGCAGAUUUCAUCUAUCUUAGAAUAGGGAAAAUUAAAGAGGAAGUCAAGGAUGCUGCAAGAAUGGCACUUUUACAGAUGGAAAAAACAAAGGUAAAAGGAGGAGCUGGUGAAUGACUUGAUGACUUGCCCAGAGACUUGCUCAACUAGUAAGGACAUAGCCUUUUGACUCCUAUCCCAGUGUUCUUUCUACUUCACCACAAAGCAAAAAAAGGAAGAAAAAAAAUAAAUAAGUAAACAAACGAAUAUCGUUGUUAGACGUGUUUCCAUUUCACAGCCAAGAGGAUGUUUACUACAAUGCCUUGGAAUCAAACAGUUGAGCACCAGGGCAAAGAAACAAGCAUCAACAAUUGAGUCAAGUUUCACAACUUUGGAGAUAAAAAAUCACAGCCUAAGGAGAAAACCAAGAAACUCCAAGGCAGCAGAGUAAGAGACAAGGAAGUUCUAAGACAAAAGAAAGAGACUGGGGGAAAAAACAAAGGGUGCUAUCAUGUCUACAAACUCAAAAAAAGCACUGGUACAAGCCAAGAGUGACAGAGACCACUUUCCAGAUCAAAGAAUGGAAUUAAGAUGCCUAAAGAAAGUAAAAGUCAUCUUCAGCAAGAAAGACUUGUUGUUUUUUAGAGCCCAGGAUCUCUUAAUGUGAACAGUGUGAAGAGCUUUUUUCUCAUGAAGAGUCACAUGGAUAACUGACCUUUAAAUUUUCAUGGGACCCUCCGUGGUGACUUCCAUAAAACACCAGCUAGUCCCAGAGCUCACACACUUGAACAGGUUGCUAUGUUAAUUUUCUUUAAUCUGUAAUUUUUUCCCAAAAGUUGGGUUCCAGGACCCUUCUGGG